CAAUAUCUAAGAACGGCUUGACCAUCUGUGCCCUUCUCGUGACACUUGCUGUUUUUGAAACAUGGGACUUCAUUGAAUUUCCAUGUCUGGUUACACCGGAACUUAAUAAAGAAGAGCAACUCCUACCUCACACUAGACAGAGAAGAGCUGUUCUAACAGGCCAGUGGAAAUACAGCAUUGAUGUCGUAGUGAAUGUCUCUGAUGCACAAACCUUUGAGCUGAUUCGCUCGUCCUUGAAUGCUACUGAUCUUCCCAUACGAAUCGAUAACCAAACGGAGAUCUCGGACAUCAGUAUCACAACCGUGUGUUCGUCAACUGACUCUGGUUUCCAGUGCAGAUGUGAGGAACAGUUUGCGUGGCCCUACAGCACCUGUGUCACAUACGGUGCCUGUGAACGCACAUGGAGAAGCAUUUGUAAAUGCAUCAAUGCUAUUCCGCCCGGCAACCAGUCCUGUCAGCCGAUAUCAGCGCUGCUAACUCAGGUCGAGUACGACGUGGAGGUGGAGCUGAACGUGACAGAUGUUGCGACAGUGGACUACCUCAGGAGCCUAUUGAUCAACAACAGCUUCUCCUUCGUCCUGGGUCCCAUUGUGAAUGUCACAAACAUCGACAUCA